rnacentral:lncRNA from 1 species
CUCUACUAAACAUGCUCUCAAUUUCUUCCCUAAACCUAAUUCAUUUCACUCUCUUCUCCAUCCCUUCAUAUUCUCUCGUUACUCUCUCUCUCUCUCUCUUAUUCGACAACACCACCAGAGAGUAGUGUGCUAUGGCUACUUCGCUGCCCGCAGCACCGUGCAUAGAGGUCAUAUAGCCACCGUCGAUCUAUAUAUGGGCAACAUCGAGCGGAUCUGUGCUCGCAGUAUGCAGCGGCGGCUUCAUUGGGCGUAACACCACCACUUGUUUGUGUUGAUUGUCGACGUAAAGGCAUACCGUGACUGCUUUGAUGCCAGCAACAUCGUGCGUAGAAGUAGUGCAUCUAUAUACGGGGCAACGACGAGGCGAUCUAUGCCCAUAGCGCACAACGGUGAUUGCUGGCUUGAAAGGUUGCUACAAUGUUGUUGAGAUGAUUUUUGGGGAGGUGGUUUUCUGGCUGUCUUCUUGUCAUCUGCUUUGUUGGAGUGUUGGGGUGGUGGUGAAAGUUUGUGUUUUGUGUUGAUUGCUGGUGUGAAUGGUUGUUGCAAUGGUUUCGACAUGAUUUUUGGGGUGAUUUUUUGGUGUUUUUCUUUGGAUUUGCUUUGUUGGAGUGUUGGGAUGGUUGUUGGUGCAAGUGGUGAUGCAAGUCAUGAUAAUGUGGCGGUGCAGUGGUAGUGGGAAGAAUAGUAUUUGCAACCAAUUAUUUGAUUAAUUUGUGAUUAAUAAAUAAAUAUGUUACUUAAAAAAUGUGAUCGAAAAAUAACUUAUG